AUCUGGCACUUGGGAUGUCCUGGAGGAUACCAUGACACUAAAUCCGAAGACCGGUCCCAGUAAUAAUGCUGUCCCCUGCAGAUAAAUAUUAAUGUCUAUAUAUUAAACUACUGGAUAUCACAGAGCAAGUUACAAUCACAGGAGUUCUUAAUUUCUGGUAGACUAGAGUACUUGCGAUUGCUGAAGA